AGAGUUUGAUCCUGGCUCAGAACGAACGCUGGCGGCAGGCCUAACACAUGCAAGUCGAACGAGCUGAGACCUUCGGGUCUCGAUGCUAGUGGCGCACGGGUGAGUAACGCGUGGGAACCUACCCUAUAGUACGGAAUAACUGAGGGAAACUUCAGCUAAUACCGUAUACGCCCCUCGGGGGAAAGAUUUAUCGCUAUAGGAUGGGCCCGCGUCUGAUUAGGUAGUUGGUGAGGUAACGGCUCACCAAGCCGACGAUCAGUAGCUGGUCUGAGAGGAUGAUCAGCCACACUGGGACUGAGACACGGCCCAGACUCCUACGGGAGGCAGCAGUGGGGAAUAUUGGACAAUGGGCGAAAGCCUGAUCCAGCCAUGCCGCGUGAGUGAAGAAGGCCUUCGGGUUGUAAAGCUCUUUCGACGGGGACGAUGAUGACGGUACCCGUAUAAGAAGCCCCGGCUAACUUCGUGCCAGCAGCCGCGGUAAUACGAAGGGGGCUAGCGUUGUUCGGAAUUACUGGGCGUAAAGCGAACGUAGGCGGUGUUCCAUGUCAGAGGUGAAAGCCUGGGGCUCAACUCCAGAAUUGCCUUUGAAACGGGGACGCUUGAGUCCGAGAGAGGAUGGCGGAAUUCCUAGUGUAGAGGUGAAAUUCGUAGAUAUUAGGAAGAACACCGGGCGAAGGCGGCCAUCUGGCUCGGUACUGACGCUCAGGUUCGAAAGCGUGGGGAGCAAACAGGAUUAGAUACCCUAGUAGUCC
rnacentral:rRNA from 1 species